rnacentral:rRNA from 1 species
UACGUAGGGGGCGAGCGUUGUCCGGAUUCAUUGGGCGUAAAGGGUGCGUAGGCGGCGCGGUAAGUCGGGUGUGAAAUCUUGGAGCUUAACUCCGAAACUGCAUUCGAUACUGCCGUGCUUGAGGACUGGAGAGGAGACUGGAAUUUACGGUGUAGCGGUGAAAUGCGUAGAUAUCGGGAGGAACACCAGCGGCGAAGGCGGCGCUCUGGGCCGGUACUGACACUGAGGAGCGAAAGCGUGGGUAGCAAACAGG